UAGGCAGAGUUCUCUUACAUCUGAGGGAGA
rnacentral:piRNA from 1 species